AACGAACGCUGGCGGCGCGCCUAAUACAUGCAAGUCGAGCGAGAAGACGUAGCAAUACGUUUGUAAAGCGGCGAACGGGUGAGGAAUACAUGGGUAACCUACCCUCGAGUGGGGAAUAACUAGCCGAAAGGUUAGCUAAUACCGCGUACGCUCCUUGGACUUCGGUUCAGGGAGGAAAGCGAUACCGUGGGUAUCGCGCUCUUGGAUGGGCUCAUGUCCUAUCAGCUUGUUGGUGAGGAACGGCUCACCAAGGCUUCGACGGGUAGCUGGUCUGAGAGGACGAUCAGCCACACUGGCACUGCGACACGGGCCAGACUCCUACGGGAGGCAGCAGUAAGGAAUAUUGCGCAAUGGGCGAAAGCCUGACGCAGCGACGCCGCGUGGGGGAUGAAGGUCUUCGGAUUGUAAACCCCUUUCGGGAGGGAAGAUGGAAUGGGUAACCAUUCGGACGGUACCUCCAGAAGCAGCCACGGCUAACUUCGUGCCAGCGCCGCGGU
rnacentral:rRNA from 1 species